AGAGUCGCUUGAGCCUGGGAAAGCAGAGGUUGCAGUGAGCCAAGACUGCGCCACUGCACUUCAGCCUGGGCGACAGAA
rnacentral:snRNA from 1 species